CCAAUCGAACCCGGAGAUAGCUGGUUCUCCCCGAAAUAGCUUUAGGGCUAGCGUUGUAUAUCAUUACCGGAGGUAAAGCACUGAAUGGCCUAGGGCCCUAACGGGUACCGAAGCCUAUCAAACUAAGAAUGCCGGAUAAUGUGAGUACAGCAGUCAGACUAUGGGAGAUAAGUUUCAUGGUCAAAAGGGAAACAGCCCAGACCCACAGCUAAGGUCCCAAAUAUGAUUUAAGUGGAAAACGAUGUGGAGUUGCGAAAACAACCAGGAUGUUGGCUUAGAAGCAGCCACUCAUUCAAAGAGUGCGUAAUAGCUCACUGGUCGAGUGACUCUGCGCGGAAAAUUCAACGGGGCUAAAAUCAUAACCGAAGCUUGGGAUGCAAUUAAUGCAUGGUAGGGGAGCGUUGUGUAAGGGGUGAAGUCACAGCGGAAGCGGUGGUGGACAUUACACAAGUGAGAAUGCCGGAAUGAGUAGCGCGAAUUAUGUGAGAAUCAUAAUGGCCGAAAGUCUAAGGUUUUUGGAGGAAGGUUCGUCCGCUCCAAGUUAGUCGGGAGCUAAGGUGAGGCCGAAAGGCGUAGCCGAUGCACAUACGGUAGAAAUUCCGUAACCGUCGAAGUAUUUAAGCAAAGGGACACUUUGGGAAGGUACAAGCCAGGCGUUGGUAGCCCUGGCCGUAAGGGACUGAAAAUUAGUAGGGAAGUGUACUGGAACAGAGGCGAGAAAAGCUUUGUGUAUAUACAAGACGCCCGUACCGCAAACCGACACAGGUAGAUGGGAAGAGAAUUCUAAGGCCAACGGGAGAAGGGUUGUUAAGGAACUCGGCAAGUUGACCCCGUAACUUCGGAAUAAGGGGUGCUCACGAGAGUGAGCCGCAGAGAAUAGGCCCAGGCAACUGUUUACCAAAAACACAGGUUUGUGCUAAAUCGAAAGAUGACGUAUACGAGCUGACGCCUGCCCGGUGCUGGAAGGUUAAGAGGAGAUGUGCAAGCAUUGAAUCGAAGCCCCAGUAAACGGCGGCCGUAACUAUAACGGUCCUAAGGUAGCGAAAUUCCUUGUCAGGUAAGUUCUGACCCGCACGAAUGGUGUAACGAUCUGGACACUGUCUCAACAACCCGCCCGGCGAAAUUGUAGUACCGGUGAAGAUGCCGGUUACCCGCGACAAGACGGAAAGACCCCAUGGAGCUUUACUGUAGCUUAAUAUUGGAUUUUGAUAUUUCAUGUACAGAAUAGGUGGGAGACUGAGAAGCAGAGGCGUCAGCUUCUGUGGAGUCGCCUUUGGGAUACCACUCUUGAAGUAUUGAAAUUCUAACCUGCGGCCGUGAAACCGGUCGGGGGACAUUGUUAGGUGGGCAGUUUGACUGGGGCGGUCGCCUCCAAAAAGGUAUCGGAGGCGCUCAAAGGUUCGCUCAGCAUGGACGGAAACCAUGCCCUUGAGUGUAAACGCAUAAGCGAGCCUAACUGCGAGACGGACAGGUCGAGCAGUAACGAAAGUUGGAGUUAGUGAUCCGGCGGUAUGUGAGUGGAAAUGCCGUCGCUCAACGGAUAAAAGCUACCCUGGGGAUAACAGGCUGAUCU
rnacentral:rRNA from 1 species